GACGAACGCUGGCGGCGUGCCUAAUACAUGCAAGUAGAACGCUGAAGGAGGAGCUUGCUUCUCCGGAUGAGUUGCGAACGGGUGAGUAACGCGUAGGUAACCUGCCUGGUAGCGGGGGAUAACUAUUGGAAACGAUAGCUAAUACCGCAUAAGAGUAGAUGUUGCAUGACAUUUGCUUAAAAGGUGCAAUUGCAUCACUACCAGAUGGACCUGCGUUGUAUUAGCUAGUUGGUGGGGUAACGGCUCACCAAGGCGACGAUACAUAGCCGACCUGAGAGGGUGAUCGGCCACACUGGGACUGAGACACGGCCCAGACUCCUACGGGAGGCAGCAGUAGGGAAUCUUCGGCAAUAGACGGAAGUCUGACCGAGCAACGCCGCGUGAGUGAAGAAGGGUUUCGGAUCGUAAAGCUCUGUUGUAAGAGAAGAACGAGUGUGAGAGUGGAAAGUUCACACUGUGACGGUAUCUUACCAGAAAGGGACGGCUAACUACGUG
rnacentral:rRNA from 1 species